GAAUGUCAAAUUUCUAGUAUGAGAAAUAAACGAUUUAAGUCCUUCUUAAAUGAGGCCAUUUACCCAUAGAGGGUGCCAGGCCCGUAUAACGUUAAUGAUUACUAGAUGGCAUUUCCAAAGAGUCGUGUUGCUUGAUAGUGCAGCACUAAGUGGGUGGUAAACUCCAUCUAAAACUAAAUAUAACCAUGAGACCGAUAGUAAACAAGUACCGUGAGGGAAAGUUGAAAAGAACUCUGAAUAGAGAGUUAAAUAGUACGUGAAACUGCUUAGAGGUUAAGCCCGAUGAACCUGAAUAUCCGUUAUGGAAAAUUCAUCAUUAUGAUUUUAAUAUUUAUAAUAUUAUGAUAAUGGUGUGCAUUUUUUCUAUAGAGGACAUUGUAAUCCAUUAACAUUAAUUGAAUUUAUCAAAAGAUCAAUUGCGCUAGUUUAUUCAAAUUAUUUUGCUUGCAAUUUAACAUAGGAUAAAUGCUUUUGAUUUGAUAAAGUGUUGAUGGAUUUAUUAUAUAUAGUGCUGGAAUAUUUAUAUUCUAUAAUAGCAUAUUAAUUAAUAAUUUUUAUGUUUAUUAUAUGCACUUGUAUGAUUAACAAUGCGAAAGAUUCAGGAUACCUUCGGGACCCGUCUUGAAACACGGACCAAGGAGUCUAACAUAUUUGCAAGUUAUUGGGAAUAAAAACCUAAUAGCGAAAUUAACAUAACUUAUAAUUAAUGGGAUUAGUUUUUAGCCUAUUUAUAGUCUAUUAAUUCAAUCCCGGGGCGUUCUAUACAGUUAUGUAUAAUAAUAUUUAUAUUAUUUAUACCUCUAACUAGAGCGUACCUUGAGCAUAUAUGCUGUGACCCGAAAGAUGGUGAACUAUACUUGAUCAGGUUGAAGUCAGGGGAAACCCUGAUGGAAGACCGAAACAGUUCUGACGUGCAAAUCGAUUGUCAGAAUUGAGUAUAGGGGCGAAAGACCAAUCGAACCAUCUAGUAGCUGGUUCCCUCCGAAGUUUCCCUCAGGAUAGCUGGUGCAUUUAAAAAUUAUGUAAAAUAAUCUUAUCUGGUAAAGCGAAUGAUUAGAGGCCUUAGGGUCGAAACGACCUUAACCUAUUCUCAAACUUUAAAUGGGUAAGAACCUCACCUUUCUUGGUAUGAAGGUUGUGGUUGUGAUAUAAUGUGCCCAGUGGGCCACUUUUGGUAAGCAGAACUGGCGCUGUGGGAUGAACCAAACGUAAUGUUACGGUGCCCAAAUUAACAACUCAUGCAGAUACCAUGAAA
rnacentral:rRNA from 1 species